rnacentral:tRNA from 1 species
GCGCCAGUAGCUCAGCUGGAUAGAGCGACUGCCUUCGAAGCAGUAGGUCGCGGGUUCGACUCCUGCCUGGCGCACCA